GACGAACGCUGGUGGCGUGCCUAAUACAUGCAAGUCGAGCGGACCAAUAGAAGCUUGCUUCUGUUGGUUAGCGGCGGACGGGUGAGUAACACGUGGGCAACCUGCCUGUAAGACUGGGAUAACUUCGGGAAACCGGAGCUAAUACCGGAUAAUUCAUCCCCUCGCAUGAGGGGAUGCUGAAAGUCGGUUUACGCUGACACUUACAGAUGGGCCCGCGGCGCAUUAGCUAGUUGGUGAGGUAAUGGCUCACCAAGGCGACGAUGCGUAGCCGACCUGAGAGGGUGAUCGGCCACACUGGGACUGAGACACGGCCCAGACUCCUACGGGAGGCAGCAGUAGGGAAUCUUCCACAAUGGACGAAAGUCUGAUGGAGCAACGCCGCGUGAGCGAUGAAGGCCUUCGGGUCGUAAAGCUCUGUUGUUAGGGAAGAACAAGUAUCGGAGUAACUGCCGGUACCUUGACGGUACCUAACCAGAAAGCCACGGCUAACUACGUGCCAGCCGCCGCGGUAA
rnacentral:rRNA from 1 species